GGGCAUUCAGAAGUCUUGCUCUCUGGGCUACACGCUGAGAACCGUGUUUCUCUCUCCGCCCAGGGGAAAGUCCCCGGACCCGCGGCAGAGAGUGCCUCCGGCUGAAGCCGGCGUCGACUCGCGCUGCGCCGCUUGUGGAGCCGAGACGCUCCGCGGAGCUGAGCUCGGCGCGCGCUUGUCGACUUUGUCAGAGUUCAUAGUCAUGCAAGUGCGCACAUGGCAGCGUCAACUGAACGGGGCUCAUUCUCGGAAUGCA
rnacentral:RNase_MRP_RNA from 1 species